rnacentral:rRNA from 1 species
ACACGGGGGGCGCAAGCGUUAUUCGGAAUUAUUGGGCGUAAAGGGCGCGUAGGCGGUCUUGUCGGUCAGAUGUGAAAGCCCAGGGCUCAACCCUGGACGUGCAUUUGAAACAGCAAGACUCGAGUACGGGAGAGGAAAGCGGAAUUCCUGGUGUAGAGGUGAAAUUCGUAGAUAUCAGGAGGAACGCCGAUGGCGAAGGCAGCUUUCUGGACCGAUACUGACGCUGAGGCGCGAAGGCGUGGGUAGCGAACAGGAUUAGAAACCCCAGUAGUCC